rnacentral:rRNA from 1 species
CCUACGGGUUGCAGCAGUGGGGAAUAUUGCACAAUGGGCGCAAGCCUGAUGCAGCCAUGUCGCGUGUGUGAAGAAGGCCUUCGGGUUGUAAAGCACUUUCAACGGGGAGGAAGGCGCCAAGGUUAAUAACCUUGGCGAUUGACGUUACCCGCAGAAGAAGCACCGGCUAACUCCGUGCCAGCAGCCGCGGUAAUACGGAGGGUGCAAGCGUUAAUCGGAAUUACUGGGCGUAAAGCGCACGCAGGCGGUCUGUCAAGUCGGAUGUGAAAUCCCCGGGCUCAACCUGGGAACUGCAUUCGAAACUGGCAGGCUAGAGUCUUGUAGAGAGGGGUAGAAUUCCAGGUGUAGCGGUGAAAUGCGUAGAGAUCUGAAGGAAUACCAGUGGCGAAGGCGGCCCCCUGGACAAAGACUGACGCUCAGAUGCGAAAGCGUGGGGAGCAAACAGGAUUAGAUACCCC